GUGGUCAGGCAGGGAACACUGACACUGGAGCGCGUGUGCACGAGAGGACUCCAUUUUUUUCUUUCUCUCUUUGAACAAAUACAACGUCGCCCGGUUGGAAUAUUAUCGCUAUUUUAUGAGAAAAAUCGCAUAAAAAUUGGUUUUAAACAGCGUUUGACAUGCUUCGAAGUACGGUAAUGGAAUAUUUUGACAUUUCUUGUCACGAAAUGCGCCUGCGCGUCACCCUUCGGAUACUGACCUCAACGCACGAACAAAACGGAGCUAUUUCAAUAUAACUAUGGAUUAUUUCGAACCAAAACAACAUUUGUUGUUGAAGUAGAAGUCCUGGGAGUGCAUUCUGACGAAGAACAGCAAAGGUUUGAGGAGAGAGGGGAGACAGGAGGCGAAAAGGGGUUCCCGGUAGCGUUUUCAUCAAAGGCUUUUCCGUCAGCACUUCAGAGUGGCCGUCAGUAUGGAAAUGUGUUGUGCUGCCUGGAAAGCUGUCAGAGAACACAUAUCUUGGAUGGGACCCUGCUAAUUCAACUGGGCUCCUGUCGGCUAUGUUCUCUGGUCCCCUCAUUAUGCACUGUGAGAUGCGUUCUACAGAUAGAGACGUUUUGUUGCCAUGCUGUGAUCACAACACCACGUAUUGAUUGGAUACAAGGAGGACAUUUUCACAAAAGGCCUCCUGUUGCGAGCUCCCAGCUAAAUACUACAGAGAAUAUCUGUGACCUUUUAGCAGUAUCUUAAACCUUUCUGGAGGCAGCACCAAGGUGAGCUGAGGGGAACAGGGGAGCUCAGCUCCUCGGGGAGGGGGAGAGCAAAUUAAAGCUCACCUCAGGAACCGUGCCACCCCUGGCACUGUCCUGAUGCAACAGCUGCAGAUACAAAAACCAUCAUCUGACAUCCUGACACACGUCUGUGCCAGGUGGGUUGGGCGGGCUGGGUGUGCUGGGCA
rnacentral:lncRNA from 1 species